UGUCUUAAACAGAGCUUCUGAUUCUUCUCUUUGGAAAUCACUGGGGUCUUACAGAGGAACUGAAAUCUUGUCUCCAUAAUUUUUGCAUAAACCAAGUUUAUCAACUGAAUGGUUUUGAGACCUUAUGUCCCGAAAAAAUGUCCAGAGCCUCUCUCAUCUUUGGUUACUGAGAAGAAUGUGAUCUCCUCAUGUCUGAAACUGUAUCUGGAAGGAUGCCACUGCAUGACUUUCGGAUACGUACGAAGUUUACAGCACAGUUCCCUAAUGCAAUGGACAGGUGCUUCAGACAGGGCCUAUAGGAGAUUCUGUUAGCAUUGAAAUCUUUCUUCAGUUCUCAGUUAAGGAGAUAUGGUGGUACCUUAUUGCUCUGUAGCAUGAUAGCUUUCAUCUUGAGAGCAGUGGGAUGAGUCCAAAUGGAUGGA